rnacentral:rRNA from 1 species
UUGGGUUAAGUCCCGCAACGAGCGCAACCCUUAUCCUUUGUUGCCAGCGAUUCGGUCGGGAACUCAAAGGAGACUGCCGGUGAUAAACCGGAGGAAGGUGGGGAUGACGUCAAGUCAUCAUGGCCCUUACGAGUAGGGCUACACACGUGCUACAAUGGCGUAUACAAAGAGAAGCGACCUCGCGAGAGCAAGCGGACCUCAUAAAGUACGUCGUAGUCCGGAUUGGAGUCUGCAACUCGACUCCAUGAAGUCGGAAUCGCUAGUAAUCGUAGAUCAGAAUGCUACGGUGAAUACGUUCCCGGGCCUUGUACACACCGCCCGUCACACCAUGGGAGUGGGUUGCAAAAGAAGUAGGUAGCUUAACCUUCGGGAGGGCGCUUACCACUUUGUGAUUCAUGACUGGGGUGAAGUCGUAACAAGGUAACCGUAGGGGAACCUGCGGUUGGAUCACCUCCUUACCAAGAAGAUGUGUGUUAAGUGAAGUGCUCACACAGAUUGUCUGAUGAAAAUACUGAGCAAGCGCACCUGUUGAUGUCAUGAGUGUAGACUCAUGCUGACGCGAGCGUGCCGGGUUUAUGACCUGGUGCGGAUUUUUCGUGUCCCCAUCGUCUAGAGGCCUAGGACACUGCCCUUUCACGGCUGUAACAGGGGUUCGAAUCCCCUUGGGGACGCCAAUCCGAUAAUGAGUGAAAGACAUUAUCACGAAUAUCUUAAAGAUGAUUCUUC